GCGGCAUGUGCGGCGGACCUGCCGCUUCGCCUCCCACGAAGACGGUCCGCAAGAGAACGGCGUCCGGAUCAUUUCCGGACGCCGUUCC
rnacentral:tRNA from 1 species